rnacentral:lncRNA from 1 species
UUCCCGGCGGGCGCACGGCCGGAGUGCGUCACGCUGCGUGAUCGCCGCGGCGCAGCCAAUGGGUUGCGGGCGGCCGCGCGUGGACAGCGCCCCGAUUGGCGAGAAAACUACAGCUGCCCGGACGGGGGACCAAUGGCGGGGUACGGCCACCACGUGUACAGCUCGUGGAUAAACAGGCAGCGAUGGGGCGGGGCAAAGCCAAGAGCGGGCGGGGCGUAGAGCGCCGGGGCGUGAGGGGGCACGUGGCGGGUCCUGCUGUAGCCCCUGUCCGCGGAACCGUCCCGGUUCUGGCCGCACGGCAGCCGAGGCGCGGCGGGGAGGCCGGGGCCGCCCGGUGAGCCUCAGUUCCUGCCUGCGGGCUGAGGUGGGAGCACUGAGCUGUGGGCUCAGCUUCUCUUUGUGGGUAGUGGGACUCUCAGAGAAUGGAAACAGGCCAAGGUGGUGCAGUGCGAUGCGUUCCCUGUUUGACCUAAAAGCUUGGGAAAACCCACAGCUCUUCAGUGAUAAAUGCACGUAUGCCAGGAAGGGGAGCGGGCCAGCCGGGCAGCGGUGUGGCCCUGUGCCCCAACCCCACGCUACAGCCACAGCCCUGCACCUCACAGAGCCACGCGCCCUCCUGGGCCGGCCGGUGCACUGAGUGUAACGUUUCUGUAUGAGGUUUCCUGUUUUGUGGUUGCCCAAUGCCUCUUCUUGAAGGAACGAGUUGCCCGCGUCUACGCUGGUGACAAAGAAGUGGAGCUUCUGACUCAGCUCUGUGCUUGGGGCUUCCAUUAUCUUCUGCUUCCUGCGUUGUUACAUCCUGGUGAGCCCAGGAAAGAACCAGCUCUGCGCUUCCCCGCUGACUCAGGUGUCAGAACGGCAAACAAAAGGCUGUUUGUAAAAGAUGCAACGUCCCCUUUUUGUCGGUGUUGGCAGUUUAAAGUCAGCCGGGCAGCCGUUAAGGAGGAGAUUUUGGAUGGGGUGUGCUGUGAGAAGGAGCUCGUCUUGAGGAAUUCCAAUUGUUACCUCUUGUAUCCUUUAGCCUCACUGAACAGGGCCUUCUCAUCACUGAGCUAA